rnacentral:rRNA from 1 species
UAGGGAAUCUUCCACAAUGGGGCGAAAGCCUGAUGGAGCAACGCCGCGUGUGUGAUGAAGGGUUUCGGCUCGUAAAACACUGUUGUAAGAGAAGAAUGACAUUGAGAGUAACUGUUCAAUGUGUGACGGUAUCUUACCAGAAAGGAACGGCUAAAUACGUGCCAG